AAACUUUGUUCUACCUUUAAUUGACAUAGACCCCAGUCAUCUAA
rnacentral:tRNA from 1 species